rnacentral:rRNA from 1 species
AGACCGGCGCACGGGUGCGUAACGCGUAUGAAAGGUGUCCAAAUCUCUGGGAUAGCCCUCGGAAACGGGGAUUAAUACCGGAUGGUCCAAUUGAACGGCAUCGUUUAAUUGGUAAAGCUCAGGCGGAUUUGGGUCCUCAUGCGUACGAUUAGCUAGUUGGCGGGGUAAUGGCCCACCAAGGCGAUGAUCGUUAGGGGUCCUGAGAGGGAGGUCCCCCACACUGGUACUGAGACACGGGCCAG